rnacentral:misc_RNA from 1 species
GCUUAAUUUCACUAAUGGUUGCUUGGAAUUGUUACUAAAUUUUGGCGCUAUCACUUAAUUUCAAUUUAAUGUAAAGUGCUCAGCUUUAAUUUGUGUAUCAAUAAGGUCAUUAUGCCAAAUUAAGUUAGUCAGAUUUCCAAUCUGAAGACCAAGUAAGAACUCUAGCAGUUCACCUUUAAUUGCACAAUUAUAUUAAAAAUAAAUAAAUAAAAUAUUG